CAAAUACUCCCUCUGUCCAACAAAAUAUGUCUAAAGUUUGUCAAAAUUUGAAUGUAUUUAAACAUAGAUUCAUUCAAAUUUAGUUAAAGUUAAGAUAUUCUUUGUUGUACUGAGAGAGUAGAUG
rnacentral:pre_miRNA from 1 species